rnacentral:snoRNA from 2 species
CUCAAAAUGAUGACGAAUUUAGUCCACUGACUUUGGUUAGAUUUGACCUAUUUUUGGAAGAAUCUAAAUAUACCAAAACUGCAAAAAGGAUGUUCGCAUUUAGCGAGGCAUUUGUCUGAUUGAGAA